CUCGCCUUCAAAGAGCAGGAGACCCAAGAGCAGCCUGAAAACUGGCAACCCUCUCUGAUCCCUUUUCUACAGUCUAAACCGGCUUAUUCAGCAACAGCUGAGCAUCCGGUGGGAGGCUUAUUUAGAGUGGAGAGCUCUGAGAAACUGGAGGCACUUCCACGUGACAGAAGAAGAUACACAAGGUCUUCAUUCUGCAGAUCAUUUCCAUCCUCAUGCGUACAGCUUCACUACAUGGCAUGAUUCAUUCCUGGCACCCAAAAUGAACUCGGGCAUGACCUGACAAUCCAGCCCAAUCAGCGAGCCGGACAACUGGGAAUACUCCUAAAAGCUGGCCCAGGUGUGAUUGUAGGCAGUUUAUUUGAAUACAGGUUCCUUUUUUUUUUUUUUUUUUUUGCAAAU